AAUACAUGACCUUUAUAAAACUUGCUAGUUCAAAUAUUGACCCAAAAAACACAAUCACAUUACAAGAUCUAAAAUGCAAAGAGUUUCUCCAAAGGUGUCCAUACAAAGGCUCCCACAUCCGCCUAGGCCGCGGCCAUCGGUCACCGCCGGAAGCAAGGUUGAGAAUAAUUUGCGUAGUCAAAAUGGUUAUCGAGUACCUCCUAGGUCUCAUUCUUUGUACACAUGUUCAACACAACAUGGUUCAAGGUCGGUAAGAGGUUUUUGGCACCAAGCAAAAGCAGCACUACCUUCUGAUAGGCUAAGGAGACGACAAGGGAAUAGAGAGAUCAUCAGAAGGGCCUUGGCACUGCCCUGUCACAGACCAAGUUGGAGGUGGUGGAAUUUUACGCCAACACCAAGUCGUCUCUCUAAGAUGUCUAUGGAAUAACAGGUGCAUGAGAGAUAAGUUUUGUCGAAAGAGUUCUACCAAAUAUGGACCUAUUAGCAUUAUGAUGUAUAGGCAUAGCCCACCCCACAUGCUGUAAAUCUCAAAAUUUAUUUGGUCAAAUUUGUUAAUUCAUUUUAUUUCCUGAGAUCAACUACCCUGUAAUGGAUCUGAAAUAACAUGUUCUCUGUAAAGGUAUUUUCAGUUAUUUUGUUUAAUCUUCAUGCCUUACGUGUGAAGUGUUCAGAAUUAGGCAUCUUAAGAGGCAACAAAUUUGCAGAAAGAAAAUAGACACAAAUAUACACAAGAUUUUAAAUGUUUGUUUCAAUGUGACACUACAUCCUCUAAUGUCAUCGCAGUAAUUCAUUAAGAUGAAAAGAAGUUUACAAGAGAAAAUUGCACACCCUAUAUUUUCUAACUUUUUACUCUUCUAUGAUAGUAAUGCAAAAUUCUAAUAGAAAAAGUAAAGAUUGUACCUCGGGAUAGGAAGGUGAAAGAUUGAUUAAUAGUCGGCCUCCUCAGUCAUUUCAUUUUCUUCGCCCGACCCUCCAUGAAGAAGGUCUCAUUCUCUUAAUGCAACCAAUUAUUAGAACACGUCUUCAUUUUCCACUCAUCCUGUCUCUGAUUUUCAAUUUAUUAACUCGUUCCAGAGGGAAACGGUGUAGAAUCAGAUAGUUCAGCACUCAAAAAUCCGACAAACUUCAUCAGUGAGUCAUUUGGAUGCUUUUGAAGACCUUUUAGUGGUGUAUUAAUAUUAGCUUCUGCUAGUAGUUCCAAGAUUAUAGCUUCUGAUUUGUCAUUUGAGUAACUGGAAAAAAUAGCUAGAGACGAAAUUAGACUAUUUAGCCGAUCAUGGAAUGGUUCCAGAUAGAGAUAUUAUGUUGGUUAUAAGAUCAAAAACUGGAAUUCAGUAAACCUCUAUCAAAUUUAUGUAACAUCAAAUUAGGUAUUAAGAAACAUGAAGGAAUCAAAGUGACUCAUUCACCGCAUGUGAUUUGUAUUAACAUAGGAGCAGCAACUUGUCCAAAAGUUGUAGUCUUCAUAGAAAAGCAUGAAAUUCUGGAAAUUUGAUAAAAUAGGCAGGUCGAACCAUGAUUGAAGAAUACGCUAUGGUUCCAAGAAAGUGAAUGUUUAUAGACCCUUCUGAGUGCAACACGAUAAAAAAUGUCUUUUUGAGUCCCUAUUUUGGAAUCUUCAUUGGAAUCCUUCUGUCUCAACACUCAAUAGAACUACUAAGAUCGUUCCAAUGCUCUCGCCAUAGUAUAGCUCUCUGAGACUAGCCCAUUACAGUCUUUGUCCCAGCCGCAAGUAUGGGAAAUGAUCCAUGUCUUAUUCUAUCGGAGACAAUCAAUCCCAAGCUCCAUAAUCAGAAAUUUUCUAUUACAUUUUUCAUGACUAUGAGGAAAAAAUUACAAGGCAAGAAAAAGCAAAGAGAAAUUUGAAUGAAAUUGAAACACAAAUAAAAU
rnacentral:lncRNA from 1 species